AGGUCCAAUUUUACAUGCCCUGUAUGAAAUAAAAAGGGCUAUGUGUGGUUGGACCUGU
rnacentral:pre_miRNA from 1 species